CCUACGGGAGGCAGCAGUAGGGAAUCUUCCACAAUGGGCGCAAGCCUGAUGGAGCAACACCGCGUGAGUGAAGAAGGGUUUCGGCUCGUAAAGCUCUGUUGUUAAAGAAGAACACGUAUGAGAGUAACUGUUCAUACGUUGACGGUAUUUAACCAGAAAGUCACGGCUAACUACGUGCCAGCAGCCGCGGUAAUACGUAGGUGGCAAGCGUUAUCCGGAUUUAUUGGGCGUAAAGAGAGUGCAGGCGGUUUUCUAAGUCUGAUGUGAAAGCCUUCGGCUUAACCGGAGAAGUGCAUCGGAAACUGGAUAACUUGAGUGCAGAAGAGGGUAGUGGAACUCCAUGUGUAGCGGUGGAAUGCGUAGAUAUAUGGAAGAACACCAGUGGCGAAGGCGGCUACCUGGUCUGCAACUGACGCUGAGACUCGAAAGCAUGGGUAGCGAACAGGAUUAGAUACCCGAGUAGUC
rnacentral:rRNA from 1 species